AGUCAAUAAGUUUAAAACAUAUAUUUUGAAAAUAUAAUAAGAAAGUUUAAAGCUUUCAUUGACUU
rnacentral:tRNA from 1 species